UCGGCGGAUCAGCCCGCGCCCUGUAAAACGGGACGGCCCGCCCGAGGACCCUAAACUCUGUUUUUAGUGGAACUUCUGAGUAAAACAAACAAAUAAAUCAAAACUUUCAACAACGGAUCUCUUGGUUCUGGCAUCGAUGAAGAACGCAGCAAAAUGCGAUAAGUAAUGUGAAUUGCAGAAUUCAGUGAAUCAUCGAAUCUUUGAACGCACAUUGCGCCCGCCAGUAUUCUGGCGGGCAUGCCUGUUCGAGCGUCAUUUCAACCCUCAAGCUCAGCUUGGUGUUGGGACUCGCGGUAACCCGCGUUCCCCAAAUCGAUUGGCGGUCACGUCGAGCUUCCAUAGCGUAGUAAUCAUACACCUCGUUACUGGUAAUCGUCGCGGCCACGCCGUAAAACCCCAACUUCUGAAUGUUGACCUCGGAUCAGGUAGGAAUACCCGCUGAACUUAAGCAUAUCAAU
rnacentral:rRNA from 1 species